rnacentral:rRNA from 1 species
AUUGAACGCUGGCGGCAGGCCUAACACAUGCAAGUCGAACGAGUGGCGGACGGGUGAGUAAUGUCUGGGAAACUGCCCGAUGGAGGGGGAUAACUACUGGAAACGGUAGCUAAUACCGCAUACCAUCGGAUGUGCCCAGAUGGGAUUAGCUUGUAGGUGAGGUAACGGCUCACCUAGUCGACGAUCCCUAGCUGGUCUGAGAGGAUGACCAGCCACACUGGAACGUGGACACGGUCCAGAUUCCUAUGGGAGGGAGCAGUGGGGAAUAUGGCACAAUGGGCGCAAGCCUGAUGGAGCCAUGCCGAGUGUAUGAAGAAGGCCUUCGGGUUGUAAAGUAAUGGCAGCGGGGAGGCGUUACCCGCAGAAGAAGCACCGGCUAACUCCGUGCAAGCCGCCGCGGUAAUUC